ACAAUUAAAAGGGCAGUGACAUUAAAUAGAUAAAUUUACAUACAUUUACAUUCGUCCAAAUGUGGCGAACAUGUUGCGGCGCUUCAUUAGUGAAAGAGACCUAAUUAGGCUAGCUGUCAGAAGAUUUGCAACUGCUUUUCUCACUCUUCAACGCAUACAUACACAAGACGAAUUUAAGAAAGAUGUUUCCUUUAAAGGAAUGGACCAAAAGUAAAUAGGCAAAAGAACUGUCUGGUAAG
rnacentral:misc_RNA from 1 species